rnacentral:rRNA from 1 species
CCUACGGGUGGCAGCAGUGAGGAAUAUUGGUCAAUGGACGAAAGUCUGAUCCAGCCAAGUCGCGUGAAGGAUGACUGCCCUAUGGGUUGUAAACUUCUUUUAUAUGGGAAUAAAAUGUUCCACGUGUGUGGUUUUGUAUGUACCAUAUGAAUAAGGAUCGGCUAACUCCGUGCCAGCAGCCGCGGUAAUACGGAGGUUCAGAGCGUUAUCCGGAUUUAUUGGGUGUAAAGGGAGCGUAGGUGGAUUGUUAAGUCAGUUGUGAAAGUUGGCGGCUCAACCGUAACAUUGCAGUUGAAACUGGCAGUCUUGAGUACAGGAGAGGUGGGCGGAAUUCGUGGUGUAGCGGUGAAAUGCGUAGAUAUCACGAAGAACUCCGAUUGCGAAGGCAGCCUACUGGACUGCAACUGACACUGAGGCUCGAAAGCGUGGGGAUCAAACAGGAUUAGAUACCCUUGUAGUC